rnacentral:lncRNA from 1 species
AUGCGGGACAUACAAGCUGAGGUUGGUUCUCAGAACUCCUUGACUCAGAGAAAAGCAAGGUUAUAUUGGAAUUAUGCUUCAAAGAUUGAAAUCAGUCCUCUUCUGUUUUAUGAAUGGAUUGCAAAAUGUCAGUGGCAAAGGCUUCCUCUUUGUUCCUCCAUCACCAUAUUAUGGCCAGGAUUGAACUGUCAUUUGAUUAACUUCAGUGGAAUAGGUUGGGAACUCAAUAAUGGAUGGUGACAAGGCUUUGAGGAAAGGCAAAUGUGAUACUGAAUUAAUAAAAUUACCUUUUUGUCAUGGUAUAAACA